rnacentral:rRNA from 1 species
AGAGUUUGAUCAUGGCUCAGGACGAACGCUGGCGGCAUGCCUAAUACAUGCAAGUCGUGCGCAGGAAGCAGGCUGAAAUCUUCGGAUGGACGUUUGUGGAAUGAGCGGCGGAUGGGUGAGUAACACGUGGGCAACCUGCCUGUAAGAUUGGGAUAACUCCGGGAAACCGGUGCUAAUACCGAAUAAAACUUUUGAUCUCCUGAUCAAGAGGUGAAAGACGGCUUUUAGCUGUCACUUACAGAUGGGCCCGCGGCGCAUUAGCUAGUUGGUGGGAUAAAAGCUUACCAAGGCGACGAUGCGUAGCCGACCUGAGAGGGUGAUCGGCCACACUGGGACUGAGACACGGCCCAGACUCCUACGGGAGGCAGCAGUAGGGAAUCUUCCGCAAUGGACGCAAGUCUGACGGAGCAAUGCCGCGUGAGUGAUGAAGGUUUUCGGAUUGUAAAACUCUGUUGUUAGGGAAGAACAAGUACCGUUCAAAUAGGGCGGUAGCUUGACGGUACCUACCCAGAAAGCCCCGGCUAACUACGUGCCAGCAGCCGCGGUAAUACGUAGGGGGCGAGCGUUGUCCGGAAUUAUUGGGCGUAAAGGCGCGCAGGCGGUCUUCUAAUCUGAUGUGAAAGCCCCGGCUUACCGUGAAGGUCAUUGGAACUGGAGACUU